GGACCCGCACAAGCGGUGGAGCAUGUGGUUUAAUUCGAAGCAACGCGAAGAACCUUACCAAAUCUUGACAUCCUCUGACUCCUCUAGAGAUAGAGUUUUCCCCUUCGGGGGACAGAGUGACAGGUGGUGCAUGGUUGUCGUCAGCUCGUGUCGUGAGAUGUUGGGUUAAGUCCCGCAACGAGCGCAACCCUUAAGCUUAGUUGCCAUCAUUAAGUUGGGCACUCUAAGUUGACUGCCGGUGACAAACCGGAGGAAGGUGGGGAUGACGUCAAAUCAUCAUGCCCCUUAUGAUUUGGGCUACACACGUGCUACAAUGGACAAUACAAAGGGCAGCGAAACCGCGAGGUCAAGCAAAUCCCAUAAAGUUGUUCUCAGUUCGGAUUGUAGUCUGCAACUCGACUAUAUGAAGCUGGAAUCGCUAGUAA
rnacentral:rRNA from 1 species